GCGGCUGUGGUCCAGGGGUCAGGACAUGAGCUUCCCAAGCUCGUAGCCCGGGUUCGAUUCCCGGCAGCCGCACC
rnacentral:tRNA from 2 species